ensembl:lncRNA
AUGAUCAUGACGAUUGUUUUGUACUCGGUGAAUGAAUGGCCAGCACUUCUCCCCCUAUAUCGUCUUGAUUAAAACCAAUAGCAGGUGGGCAGAGAGGACAAUGACGACCCUCUCCACCACAGAAAUGAGUUCUGAUCAUCCAUUUGAUGGUCACAGUGCCUCGGGUUUAUCGAACGGCGUUUGGGUCUGGGAGUGCGGGAAAGUCAUUGUGCAGAAGGAGCACCUUUUGUGUUUGUUUUCUCACGACUGGCUGUAUAAUUGAUGGGAUAAUGGUUCUCUUAGUAAGUUCUUCAAGUCAGCAUCUUUCUUGAUUCCUUGCCAAACUAAAAUGAAGACUUAUUUGUAUUCAAUCGACAAACAAAAUAAUCAUGAGGUGCCAUUCUUCAAUAUUGUGCUGGUCUAAGGGACACCAGCUGCCUUGGUUUGGGGAGGCUGAGCUUUCUCGUCCAACCGGCCCGGGGUCCCUUUGAAGAGGGAACCGAUGUGAUCGUUUUGGGCUCGGUCGACCAUCGUCUUUAUGCCACAGACUAAAUUCAUGUCGUCCACUGACUUGAGCUUUCAGCAAGUCUUGGCAUCGGACUAACUCGACUUCUUUAUCUUCUUAACAAAUUGGCAGGAAUUUUCCCACCAAUUCUGAUACUGUUAAAAGGCACAGGGAAGACAUUUGCAGGUUGCAAGUUUUUAAUUAAUUGCAUUUGUCGUAUUUCUUGAGUACAUUUUGCAGAAAGCCAAUUUUGUGUCUCUGGUUAUCAUGUUCCUUCAUCUCUACUGGGCUUUGGACACGGUAUAAAGACAAAGUGUCAGACCAGGAUGUGAAAGUUGGUUCCAUGUUUAUAUUUAUAAAUGUCAACAUUUUCUGUUUGUUUUCUCAAUCUGAUAAUUGUAUCUAACUGCACCGGAACGAAAACAAUUUUAAUUUAAUUUUCCAGAUGGAUCACAAGGUUUAUUGACUGAAAAUAUUUCAUAACGGUUGGUUUCAUAAACCAUGCGUCAUUUUUUUCUGUUCCUCAAACAUAUCUGAAAAUGUUGACCCUUCGUCUCUAACUCUGAGUACAUGUGUCGCUGGAUUAUUGCUGUAAAGCCAGCAACAUUUCUGUAGACAGCGGACCACACCUGCCCCCACACCGCCACACAUUUUGGAGGACGAUGAAUCAUUUAGCUUUCAUAUUUUCUUAGCUAAUUGAAGGAAUACCAUGAAUUCCAAGGAACUUUUCCUGUCUGUAUAAAAGAGACAAGAGACGAGAAAGACUGGGGGGGGCAAGAAAUGGUGUAUGUGUGAAAGUCCGGGGCUGCAUGGUGUUUUUUCACAUGUUGAAAGCAAACGGAACAAUCCUAGUAUUACUAAACCGCUAUCCAGACAGCUCAAUGGUCGUAAACAGAACCGUAUUUCAGAAAUGAACCUGGUGCAAUAUUUAAGAUCUCUCUUCUGUGUCGUCUCACAGGCCCACAGGGUUAUAUAUUGAUGUGCCUUCAGAAGUACCCUUUUCUAAAUAUUUUAUUUUCCCCCAUCUACCUUGUGCAAGAAACGCAUCCCUGUUUUCAUUUGAUAGUUUAUUCUUUUCUUUAUCGAUAUCGAGUAAAACAUAAUGGUUCCCCAAAUGAUUGUAUUCAACACUGAAAUGCUACUGAGACUCCUCCACAGAUCGGAUAAUGACAUUCCCGCCUUUUCUGUUUUCUUCAGUUUUUACACUACUGCCUUGAAUCAUAUGGUUGUCAUAAGUAUAAUAAUACAUUUCAUUUCUUUCACUUCAUUCAAUCGCACACAGUAUUUAUCAGACAGGAUUGAGUCCCGACUGAAUCUCUGCCUGCUUCCUUCCCUCUUCUGUAACCGCAGACCUAAUUUUAUAGAAAUUAAAAUGGAAAGAUGGAGGGAAAUGAAUCACAAUUUUGUAAAAUAAUUUUAUAAAAACAAAAAUAAAUCAAUUAAAAUAUUUGAUAUGAAUUGCCUUUCUUUUGUAUGUAUAUUUUCUGACCAUUUUAUAUCUGUAAUGUCCGGUAUUAGAACUACAAAUCUGCGCUGCAAAAGAGCUACGUUGCGAUCCCUCGUCCUUUCCGACUGGCAGCCCGUUCUCAGGCUUCCCCAAACAUAUUUUGCAUGUUGGGGUUUAUGUAGUGUUCCCUCUGAGAGAGCCAAACUAUAUAAUAGCUUCGGCUGUGCGUGUGCAUGCACGUGCACUGCCUUUCCUAUGCCAGGAAACUGCUGUGUUUACAUAAAUCUGUGUCAGAAUGAUCGGUUUAGACACGCUGCAUAAAUAACAGCAUCUUUCCAGGAUGAUCCCAUGGUGCACGAGAGCUGCCAACCAAGCUACAAGAGAGAAACCCCCAAAACGCACACACACUCGGAGAUGGACACUAAACUGGGCAAAACUCAUGAAACAAAAAGCUGUGCGGUAUUUUGGAGCUGGAUUAUACAGUAACACACCAAAGGAAAACCAUUUGGACAUCACUCCAAGACCACGUCCACCCUGGAUGGUCUAAGAACCGAAUCAGAAAGAAUCCCCAAGAGAUCCAAAUGUUUUACAGGCUUUUUGUUUGCAUGGUGACCGGAAAUAAAUGUGUUUUGUUGUAAA